UCCCCAAUUUUUUCAACCUAAAUUUAGGUCCCAAUCAAUCGAUUUUCACAUCAGCUCCCCUUUCAACCCUACCUGUAUAACCGCUAUGAGACAGGGCGAACAAGAGGAACCACAAUGUUGAUGACUGUCAACGGCGGGUUUCUUCCAUGAUUCUCGAAUCGUCUACCAUGGUUAAUUCUUGAAGGUUGUUGAUAUUAAACAUGGCUCUCCAACACUUUCCUCAGGAGCAAUUUGGCACUUGCUUUCACCUUCAUAAUUGCAUUCAUUUUAGAUUCGUUUUCAUGGAUUUAUAGUUUGAUGAAACUAGGGUGUUAAAGCUCCGAAGACACAUUCUUGGUGAAUCACUCUAAGAUGAUUGUUCUUAUCUAAUUGAAGCUGCUAUUAAGCCUUAUUUCAUGGUUUGCAACAGCUUUAGAUUUGGGAAUGUUUGUUGGCGGAUUAUUCAUACUCCAAAGACUAAAAAGCCGAAUCGAACAUACGGAGACACGAAGAGGUUGGCGGAUUAUUCAAGAUACUUGAAGAAAGUUAACUUUGAUUUAUAUAUUUUGUAAAUAAUUGAGCAAUUUUAUGAAUGUAUUGUACAUUGUCUUAAAGUACAUUAUUUAUGAUAUCUAUUUUACUAUUGUUAUGGCGUAA